AAGAUCCUGAUCGUAGACUGGAAUUUUGCGAGUGGUUUUCUGCUUGGUUAGAUAACCCCAAGCCACACACACCAAUAGUGACUCCCCAGCGAGAAACCAAGAUGGUGCUAACUAGUCAAAUGAAAAAAAAAUCAUCAUUCUCCAUUUGGGACGCAGACUCUCCCUCUGAUGGCAGCAGCAACUCUGAACAUCCACAACCACAAUCGUGUCGAAGCAAUCCAGUAGGAGGAGUUCUUCCAAUCCGACCCGAAGAAUCACAACCACCCAAAAGUAAAAAGACAUAUAUGCUAUGAAAUAUUUAGAUAUCUCAGACUGUAUAUUGACAUAAGCCCUGCAAUCUUUGCUUUUAGAUAUUAGUUGUAAGACCACUUCGAAAACACUCUUGAAAAUAUUGUACUGUGUACAUAAUUCAAGCAUUAAACGCAACGUAACGUAAAAAAAGAAAACGAUGAAAGCAGAACGAAGAAAUGGAAUUCAACUUAACUCUAAAGAGAUGGAUGGAAAUCUUCCUUGCAAGUGCCCCAUCAAGUUACGAUUUCAUUGAUCAUCUAGUGCCCUGGAGAUCUGGACAUUCGAGAAGUAACGUAUUUGGUAUUGUUGAAUGGAUACUUUUUGAAUUUGGUUAUUGUUCAGUAUUUUCAACCCACGCCAAUUUAUUGUGCAUAUGAUGUUGCACACCAUUGUCUCUUCCUUUGCCAAUUUCAUAUUAUAUAUUAUUAAAUUUUUACUGUUUUCGACGUCCAUGAAGGAAGCUCGACUAGUUCUAGGGAUGUCCUCUUGGUGUUACCCUACUCAGUUCAGGUAAUGGCACCCUACACUCGUAGUCGGAGCAGUCUUCUGCAGGAUUAGACGAAUUUUACGAGCGCUUGGAUCGCUGACGGACUCGUCAUUGCUACCAUUUUAACUGCGGGACUUCUUUGUAGAGCCUCGAUCGAAGGACUAAAAUUUCUUCUGUACGCAUCAUACUGCCGCAGUUCAGUUUUAUUUAAAUAGUCGUGUGCGAAUCUUGUACAAUUUCAAAAAGGCUACUGCUACUGCGUAAAUCUCAGCACUUACAAACAAAAGUAUACGGGCCACGUGUUGCGCAGGAAUGAAAAUAGGUCGGCGCGUGCUUGCUAAUUAAAGAGCACAAAUUCCUAGCGCCAUCUCUACAUUGCAACACACAAUAGAAUAAUUUUUACUUGGUGUGUCAUUAACGACCCCUUGGGCAUUAAUGGGUUAAUACCGUCUACCAUUCAUCAACGUGUGAUAAAUGUUCGUGAACUAACAGAAUUUUCUACAAGCGCAAGUAAAAAAGAUGAAAACAGAAUUAGGAAAUGGAACUCAACUUAACUCUAAAGAGGUGCACAGUUGUCAUGUGUCAAUAAAAUCUUUGCAAGUGCCCCAUCAAGUUACGAUUCCAGUAAUCCUCUAGUGCCCUGAAGAUCUGGACAUUCGAAAAGUAAAGUAUCUGGUAUUAUUGAAUUGAUACUCUUUGAAUUUGGUUAUUAUCGUUCAGCAUUUUCAACCCAUUGCAAUUCAUUGCGCGAAUGAUGUUGCGCAUUGCGCACCGAUGUCUGUUCCUUUGCCAAUUUCAUAUUAUAUAGUAUUAAUUUUUUACUAUUUUUUUCCUUUUUUUACUUCUGGGGAUGCCCUCUUGAUGUUACCCUACUCAGUUCAGGCAACGGCAUCCUGCACUCUUAGUCGGAGCAGUCUUCUGGAGGCAUGCGACCAAUUUUACAAGCGUUUGGAUCGCUGACGGACUCGUCAUUGCUGUCAUUUUAACUGCGGGAUUUCGUUAUAGAGUCUCGAUCAAAGGAUUAAAAUUUGUUCUGUACGCACCAGACUGCCGCAGUUCAGUUUCCUGCGAAUCUUGUACAAUUCUAAAAAGAAAAAGCAAAUGCAGAUAAGAAAACAAAUAGAGUGGAAAAGAGAAACGGUGUAAAAAAUGGUUGCUGGAAAGAAAUAUUCAGAACCUUUCGAUUCUAAAAGCAAUACACCUCUAAGCUUCGCAUUGCGUUCAAAUAUGAUCUGCACAACGCACGACAAAUCGGGAGGGCCUUUCUACAAAGCUGUGAAUAGAUACCCUACAGGGAAGUAGUAGGAUAACCAAUCUAUUAAAAUUACGGAGAAUAACAAUAGCAAAGAUCGACAACAAUGCAAAAAGACUUACCUAAACCACUUGUCUGCACUCUUGGAACGGACGAAAGAUCUAUUCGUAGUCAUGAAAAGUAUCUGAACG